rnacentral:rRNA from 1 species
UCGGGAAUUUUGGGCAAUGGGGGAAACCCUGACCCAGCAACGCCGCGUGAAGGAUGAAGUAUUUCGGUAUGUAAACUUCGAAAGAAUAGGAAGAAUAAAUGACGGUACUAUUUAUAAGGUCCGGCUAACUACGUGCCAGCAGCCGCGGUAAUACGUAGGGACCAAGCGUUGUUCGGAUUUACUGGGCGUAAAGGGCGCGUAGGCGGCAUGACAAGUCACUUGUGAAAUCUCUGGGCUUAACCCAGAACGGCCAAGUGAUACUGCUUUGCUGGAGUGCAGAAGGGGCAAUCGGAAUUCUUGGUGUAGCGGUGAAAUGCGUAGAUAUCAAGAGGAACACCUGAGGUGAAGACGGGUUGCUGGGCUGACACUGACGCUGAGGCGCGAAAGCCAGGGGAGCAAACGGGAUUAGAUACCCCCGUAGUCCCUGAGCGGGCUGGCAAGGCGCAU